rnacentral:rRNA from 1 species
CCUACGGGAGGCUGCAGCUAAGAAUAUUCCGCAAUGGGGGGAACCCUGACGGAGCGACGCCGCGUGGACGAUGAAGGCCGGAAGGUUGUAAAGUCCUUUUGUCCGCGAGGAAUAAUAUUGGGAGGAAAUACCUGAUAGGUGACGGUAGCGGAUGAAUAAGCACCGGCUAAUUACGUGCCAGCAGCCGCGGUAACACGUAAGGUGCGAGCGUUGUUCGGAAUUAUUGGGCGUAAAGGGCAUGCAGGCGGUCGUGCAAGCCCGGCGUGAAAUGGCGGGGCUCAACCCCGUCACUGCGCUGGGAACUGUGUGGCUAGGGUCGCCGAGGGGCAGCCGGAAUUCCAGGUGUAGGGGUGAAAUCUGUAGAUAUCUGGAAGAACACCGAUGGCGAAGGCAGGCUGCCAGCGGAUGACCGACGCUGAGGUGCGAAGGCGCGGGGAGCGAACAGGAUUAGAUACCCCAGUAGUC